AGUAAAUGAAACACUUGCUUAUAUUAAACACGCAUGUGUUCUAUUUUUACUCAAAAAUGUUCAAUAGCAAUAAUAUACAAUCGAAAUAAUUGUGAAUACGAUGUAUAUCCGCAAAAAGUUUUUAUAGGCCGCCUGUUUUUCAACCAUGUGGUAACAUCAGCUCGUCAUCAUCGUUGAAGUGUUGACCACCAAUGAAAUAUUUUAGGAGAUCAUCAGCCACUAUGUUAGUUGAUGCAGGAGGUGAUAUGCUAUCAUUAAAACAACUUGGUGUCUGGCAAUCUUCUACAGUAGCGGAAUCAAUCUCUUAAAUAUCAAAAUGACAACGCAUUACGAAUAGCGGAAGCAAUUACCAAUUAUCAAUCUUCGUCUUCUGAGAUACCCAGCAGUACUACAAUUAUAAAUAAUCACCAUUAAAUAAUAAGACACAAUCAGUUUACAAUAAUUGUUAUUAACAAAUAUAGUAGAUGUUGGGCCACUUGGAAUGCCCCCUACCACUCCACAUUUACGCUUAGUGCUAGCGGCACCCACUUCACAUUUACGGUGCAACGUACUAGUGAUUCCUGAGAUUGAUAACAAUAUUUAGUUAUUAUGAGGAAUCUGAUGUAAUCACUCAAUGAUUUGCUAUUUUUUAAUCUGUCUGGCUAAUAACCAAAUAAUAUAUUUUUGUGAAUUAUUGUUUCAAAAAGAAAUAUAUACAGUCAAACCAGGAUAAGUGAGAAAACUCUAUAAGUGAGAGCAAUGCCAGGACUCAAAAAUUUAACAUGUUCUAUUUUAUGACUCAUUCUUAACUUUCGUGGAACUUCCUACCAUUGUUUUUGUAUUCUCGUCAAUAUUGUACCUAUUCUAUUUCGUGGAACUGAAUAAUGUUGUUAUUUUAUCGCAUUCUUUUCAAAUGGACACGUGUGCCUGUGUAUCGUCCUGUUUGUUGGACUUACUCAGUUUAUAGUUAUCAAUUGCGAAGGAAAAUUCUGUUCUGCAUCAAGUCAAAACGAAAAAUUAAAGUACUGUCAUUAAGUGAUAAACUUAAAAUAGUGAAUGCGUUUGAAUCCGGAAAAUCGCGAAAUGAAAUUCAGAGGGAGUUUAAUUUACCAGAAUCCACCUAUAAAAUCAUAAAAUCAAAAGGCUCCAUAAAGUCUGAGUGCUUUGAUGGACAUGGAAAUAUUAAGAGGGCUAGAGUUUCUGAAUUUGGAAUGGAUAAAACAAACUCUCGAUAAGAAUAUUCCCAUAGAUGGACGUUUGUUGAAAGAGAAAUCAAAAGAGUUUGCUACAAAACUGGGAAUCCAGAACUUUUCUGUUAGCAACGGCUGGAUAGACGGUUUUAAAAGGCGUCAUGACAUAGCUUUCAAAAAAGCAGCUGGAGAAAGUAAAUCUGUGGACCAAGGUGUGUGCAACCAGUGGACUGAAGAUCUGCCGAAUCUUUUAGAAGGGUAUGAACCAGACUAUAUUUACAAUGCGGAUGAAACUGCUUUGUUUUUAAGUGCCUUCCGGAUAAAACAUUUACGUUUAAAGGCGAAAAAUGGAGGGAAUCAAAGCAAGGAACGCCUUACACUUCUCCGGUGGGUAAACAUGAGUAGUACGGACAAACUCCCACUUCUCAUCAUCAGGAAAUCAAAGCGACCUAGAUGUUUUAAAGGUGUCAAGACUCUACCCGUUGAUUAUGCCAAUAAUACAAAGGCUUGGAUUACCAAAAUAUUAUUUAAAGAUUGGUUGAAAAAAGUUGACAAACUGUGCUGUCCAUACGUCCAACACUUGCAAACGUAAAAGUAAUGUUUUUACCUACUAAUACCACUAGUAAACUUCAACCAUUAGAUCAAGACAUCAUUCAUACUUUUAAACGCUUUUAUCGCUGAGAAGUCGUUAAACAUAUUCUUACGAGUCUGGAAGAAAACAGUAGCCCUGAUAUUAACCUACUUCUAGCUAUGAAAUUUGCUAGAAAAGUCUGGUACUUAGUCAGUGACGUUGCCGUCAAAAAAGCUGGAUUUUGGAAAAGUAUAGAUGAGCAAGACCUGCCAGAGGAAAAUGAUGUUGAAGUUGGACCUAACAACGAGGAAUGGACUAAGCUUGUGUCUCACGAAUCCAAUAUGUUAAUGCCAAGCUUCGAAGAUUUCGUUCAAAUUGACGACGACGUAACUACCGCUGGAGAACAAAGCGACGACGAUAUCUUUAAGAAUUGUGUGAACACCUGUAUUGCUGGAAAUGACAGUGAAG